UUCAACUAAUUUGUACUAUCAAAUAUUGGAAUAAUAUUUGUUUGUUUCAAUACCAAAUAAGUUAAAUAUUUUUUAUCUGCAAUGAUAGAAUUCAUUACUACAUUUUCAUAUCUUUCUCAAAGACUAUGGCCAUACGCCACAUAUCUAGCCAAUAAUCUUUUCAUGCCACAUAUCUAGCCAAUAAUCUUUUCAUACCCCAUUGAUAACAAAAGUUAUUUUUAC
rnacentral:lncRNA from 1 species